UACGUAGGGUGCAAGCGUUGUCCGGAAUUAUUGGGUGUAAAGAGCUCGUAGGCGGUUUGUCGCGUCUGCUGUGAAAACUCGGGGCUUAACUCCGGGCCUGCAGUGGGUACGGGCAGACUAGAGUGCGGUAGGGGAGACUGGAAUUCCUGGUGUAGCGGUGAAAUGCGCAGAUAUCAGGAGGAACACCGGUGGCGAAGGCGGAUCUCUGGGCCGAUACUGACGCUGAGGAGCGAAAGCGUGGGGAGCGAACAGG
rnacentral:rRNA from 1 species